GUGCCAGCAGCCGCGGUAAUACAGAGGGGGCAAGCGUUAUUCGGAAUUAUUGGGCGUAAAGGGCGCGUAGGCGGCUUUGCAAGUGGCGGGUGAAAUCCCUCGGCUUAACCGAGGAACUGCCUGCCAGACUGUGAGGCUCGAGACCGGGAGAGGUGAGUGGAAUUCCCAGUGUAGCGGUGAAAUGCGUAGAUAUUGGGAGGAACACCAGUGGCGAAGGCGGCUCACUGGACCGGAACUGACGCUGAGGCGCGAAAGCGUGGGGAGCAAACAGGAUUAGAAACCCCGGUAGUCC
rnacentral:rRNA from 1 species